rnacentral:rRNA from 1 species
GAUGAACGCUGGCGGCGUGCCUAAUACAUGCAAGUCGAGCGAACGGACGAGAAGCUUGCUUUUCUGAUGUUAGCGGCGGACGGGUGAGUAACACGUGGAUAACCUACCUAUAAGACUGGGAUAACUUCGGGGAACCGGAGCUAAUACCGGAUAAUAUUUUGAACCGCAUGGUUCAAAAGUGAAAGACGGUCUUGCUGUCACUUAUAGAUGGAUCCGCGCUGCAUUAGCUAGUUGGUAAGGUAACGGCUUACCAAGGCAACGAUGCAUAGCCGACCUGAGAGGGUGAUCGGCCACACUGGAACUGAGACACGGUCCAGACUCCUACGGGAGGCAGCAGUAGGGAAUCUUCCGCGAUGGGCGAAAGCCUGACGGAGCAACGCCGCGUGAGUGAUGAAGGUCUUCGGAUCGUAAAACUCUGUUAUUAGGGAAGAACAUAUGUGUAAGUAACUGUGCACAUCUUGACGGUACCUAAUCAGAAAGCCACGGCUAACUACGUG